GAUUGAUUCCAAAUAUGUAAUUUUUCUGAAGAUUGGAUUUGUAGUUUGGAAGUUAUAGUACAUGUAUAAAAACUGUAUUUUUACUGCCUGUGUUUAAUUAUGUUAACCCAUUGUGUGCCAUAAUUAGAUCACAGGCACAGGGGAGGAUUUUUGUGGUGUCUGCUGCAGUGUUUGGAGUCCUCAGGAAGCACUAGGAGCUUCCAUCAACGGAGGGUACUCGGUCGGAGUACAGGGAGCUCCGUUACACCUUCCUAGACUCACUGACCUUUCUCACCCUACCACUCACAUGUACUCACUGUUCUUCCUCAUCUUUAAGUGCACCUUCACUUGUCCAUGCUCUACUCAUUAUGCUCACUCAAGUAUAAUUUAUUUUCCUUCCCUACUUUAUUGUCCUUCCUCAUCUUACUAUCAACCCACUACUUAUUGUUUUCAAUUGUCUGUCCACUUUCUGCUCACUCUUUGUUGUCUCCCUCUUUACUAGGGUGCCUGAGCAAGUAUGUUGGAGAAGAGCAAUGGCACAGAGAGCUUGGAUGGAGAAAGAAGGCACAGAGAGAAUAGGGCAGAGACAUGGUACAGAAAGAAUAGGGCAGAGAGGUGGCACAAAGAGAAUAUGGCAGAGAGAUGGCACAGAGACUAGAGGUAGAGAGAUGUCACGGAGAGAAUAGGGCAGAGACAUGACUUCAGGAGCCCUGCGCAGACCAGACUUCAGGACAUUUUCUAUGAGAGGGAAGCUAGGCAUGACUGGGAUGACCCCCAUGAGGUAGAGCAAGACCUGGCUCACCUAGCAACCCUGGAGUUGGAACUGGAGCAGGACUACCGAGAUCUCUUCCACUCCAUUUGACCCUCGCUCAACGCUCAGCAGGACAGCAAGGUGACAGACCCAGAUCCAGACCCCUUCAGCUGG